rnacentral:rRNA from 1 species
AUUGAACGCUGGCGGCAGGCCUAACACAUGCAAGUCGAGCGGAUGACGGGAGCUUGCUCCUUGAUUCAGCGGCGGACGGGUGAGUAAUACCUAGGAAUCUGCCUGAUAGUGGGGGAUAACGUUUCGAAAGGAACGCUAAUACCGCAAACGUCCUACGGGAGAAAGCAGGGGACCUUCGGGUCUUGCGCUAUCAGUUGAGCCUAGGUCGGAUUAGCUAGUUGGUGAGGUAAUGGCUCGCCGAGGCGACGAUCCGUAACUGGUCUGAGAGGAUGAUCAGUCACACUGGAACUGAGACACGGUCCAGACUCCUACGGGAGGCAGCAGUGGGGAAUAUUGGACAAUGGGCGAAAGCCUGAUCCAGCCAUGCCGCGUGUGUGAAGAAGGUCUUCGGAUUGUAAAGCACUUUAAGUUGGGAGGAAGGGCAGUAAGCUAAUACCUUGCUGUUUUGACGUUACCGACAGAAUAAGCACCGGCUAACUCUGUGCCAGCAGCCGCCGUAAAAC